rnacentral:rRNA from 1 species
GAUGAACGCUGGCGGCGUGCCUAAUACAUGCAAGUCGAGCGAACGGACGAGAAGCUUGCUUUUCUGAUGUUAGCGGCGGACGGGUGAGGAACACGUGGAGAACCUACCUAUAAGACUGGGAUAACUUCGGGAAACCGGAACUAAUACCGGAUAAUAUUUUGAACCGCAUGGUUCAAAAGUGAAAGACGGUCUUGCUGUCACUUAUAGAUGGAUCCGCGCUGUAUUAGCUAGUUGGUAAGGUAACGGCUUACCAAGGCAACGAUGCAUAGCCGACCUGAGAGGGUGCAGGGGCACACUGGAACUGAGACACGGCACAGACUCCUACGGGAGGCAGCAGUAGCGAAUCUUGCGAACUGGGCGAAAGCCUGACGGAGCAGCGCCGCGUGCGUGAUGCAGCUCUUCGGAUCGUAUGACUCUGUUAUUAGGGAAGAACAUAUGUGUAAGUAACUAUGCACAUCUUGACGGUACCUAAUCAGAAAGCCACGGCUAACUACGUG